rnacentral:rRNA from 1 species
AACGAACGCUGGCGGCAGGCUUAACACAUGCAAGUCGAACGCGUGUAGCAAUACACGAGUGGCGCACGGGUGAGUAACGCGUGGAUAUCUGCCUUUUGGUUCGGAAUAACCCCGGGAAACUGGGGCUAAUACCGGAUGGUUCCUUCGGGAUACAGAUUCAUCGCCAAAGGAUGAGUACGCGUACGAUUAGCUAGUUGGUGAGGUAAUGGCUCACCAAGGCGACGAUCGUUCGCUGGUAUGAGAGGACUAUCAGCCACACGGGGACUGAGACACGGCCCAGACUCCUACGGGAGGCAGCAGGGGGGAAUAUUGGACAAUCGGGGCAACCCUGAUCCAGCCAUGCCGCGUGAGUGAUGAAGGCCUUCGGGUUGUAAAGCUCUUUUUGCGGGGACGAUGAUGACGGUACCCGCAGAAUAAGCCCCGGCUAACUUCGUGCCAGCAGCCGCCGUAAAAC